GCCAGAGGCGCCAGCACGUUGAAUGCCCAAGUUCCUUGGUCACUGAAGUUAAGCAACGUUGGGCGUGGUUAGUAUCCGGAUGGGUGACCAUCUGAGCAAUCGCGUGCUGCUGGCU
rfam:Asian citrus Psyllid, Diaphorina citri - Florida Strain, whole genome shotgun sequence.